rnacentral:ncRNA from 1 species
UGCCGUCUCAAAUGUCAAUAAACAGGAACUGUUUCUUGUUUAUAAUUCGGGAUUAUGACUGAACGCCUCUAAGUCAGAAUCCCGCCUGGAAAGCGACGAUGCAUUCGUGCCUCGGCCUCGAGAGGCGUAGCUAGACGGCCGCGUGGCCGUGGAAAGAGCCCGAUUCCGACCCGAGAGGCCGCGGCAAGAGGCGGCCUCGAAGUCGGUGGAUCCUCCUGCUCGAAAGGCGGGGUGCUAAACCAUUCGCAGACGACCUAGUUGAAGAUCGGGGUGUCGUGAUCACUAGAGCAGUACAUCUCACUGCGAUUUGUUGAGAGUAAGCCUCAAGAUCUGUCGGUUU